UCAGUAAUUCAACAUCCUCCUAGGAGUGAAAGUGCCAUUUCUUUCUACCAGGAGCUGUACCAGAUGUGAAAGUUCAGCUCUGGCAGCCAGCUCAGUCUCACUGGCGGUUGAAGAGCCUCCUAGAAAGGUACUGAUCAUCAGGCCCUCGUCCAGCAGAUACCCACAUAAGUCAGAUGGUGAGCACAUAUUGGCUUCUGAGAGAUGUAGACACUGGAAGGAGAAAGCGGACAGAAGAUAACUUCAGCAAUCAACUCCUGGGAGCUUCAGAGUGGAAGGAAGAUGAGCAGCAGCAUCUUUCCUUACUUUCAUAAUAUUGAUCAGUUCCCAGCAGAGCCCACAGCAUGAUGCUGGUAAUGAUUUGACAUGAACAGAUCUGAUGCAAUCUGGGAAUCCCCAGGACGUCUAGGAACUUAAAUGUAGGGAUUCCAUCUGUGAAUUUAAGAACAUAGAUAAUUAUAGAAAAUAUACAUUCUAAUUGCUAUGAGACUGUAAGCAGACUGCUUCUCUGCUCUGUCUUAAGAUGUGUGUAUCCUUAUCAAUAUGUUCCCUCCAAUCUUCAAAACCUAUUAGUAGAGGAGCUGGCUGCUGCAUUAGUGCCGUGCAGGGGACAAGGGAGGAAGUUGUGGAAGCUCCAGAGAUGAUGCAAAGCUCUGGAAAACCAGGCUUUAUUAGCUGUGCUGGGCAUGAGAUUACUGCAUUUCCUAAAGAGGCUUUGGGCUGCAUAGAAGGAGGAAAUUCCAUGUUGUUUUCUGGCUUAAAAGUGAGAAUGCUUUCCUCUGGUUAAGGAGUAAAGGGAAAGGAAAAAAGAAAGUAAGACUACAAAGAAAAUGUUGAGAGAUUCUAAGGACACAGCAAGUUCCAGCUUCCUCUCACGUGCAAAAGCAAAAGACAUUUUUCCCUUAAAAUCUGUAUGGCUAUUCACAGGGAAGAGUCAAACAUACUGGAGAUCUCACAUUUCCCUUCUUCACUGAAAAUAUAGGUCUUAUAUCUUCUAGCUAUUAACAUGAAUCAAAGCGUGCUUGUGUGCUUGCUCUCCUUGCUCUGAAGGACUGAAGCUGGUCCCUAUUGCUCCUUAAAAGCACAUGUUCCUCCUGCAGUUAACAGCUGCAGUUAACUUGGGUUUGGAUUAAUUGGAGCUUUCAGCACAGCUGCUUUUAUAAUGGCUACUUUAAGUCUACUGGGCUUUCAGAGAAUUUAGGAUGGGGAAAAAACUUUUCAUGAAAUGAAUUGGGCCAAAAUAUUUCCAGGUUCUAAGAGUUUCUUUGGGAGUGGGACUAAUGGGCUUAUUGCUCACUGAGCAAAGCACCUGAUAGCUGGAAAGGUAAUGGAGAAAGGCUGUGCUGUAAAGAGAGGAUAUAAAUGAAGA